ACAGUGAGCACAGCUGUGGAUCUGCAGAAGAGAAUCAUUGGGGGUCAUAAUUGUACGCAAACCGAGCGUCAGUACCAUGUGAAGUUUGUUGAUAGCAACAAUGAACGAUCUGUGGUGGCUCUCUGAUCGGUAACAAGUGGAUUCUGACGCAGCUCACUGCUGGACCUGGGGUAUGAGAGCACAUGUAGGUGUGCACCCUUCAAAGACAGCAGGUCAACCAGUGGUAAUCACGGCACCACCCGUGAUCUUUGCCCACAACAAGAAGAUGCAUGACAUCAUGCUGGUGGAAUUACCUAACUUGUUCAGAUUCAACCUGUACGUCUCCCUGAUACACGUGACUGUGAAAAUAUUCCCAACAACCUUCAGAUUGCAGUCAUGGCACACAGCUAGGAAUCUUAGUA